rnacentral:rRNA from 1 species
CGUAGGGUGCAAGCGUUAAUCGGAAUUACUGGGCGUAAAGCGUGCGCAGGCGGUUUUUGUAAGUCUGUCGUGAAAUCCCCGGGCUCAACCUGGGAAUUGCGAUGGAGACUGCAAGGCUAGAAUCUGGCAGAGGGGGGUAGAAUUCCACGUGUAGCAGUGAAAUGCGUAGAGAUGUGGAGGAACACCGAUGGCGAAGGCAGCCCCCUGGGUCAAGAUUGACGCUCAUGCACGAAAGCGUGGGGAGCAAACAGGAUUAGAUACCCUGGUAGUCCACGCCCUAAACGAUGUCUACUAGUUGUCGGGUUUUAAUUAACUUGGUAACGCAGCUAACGCGUGAAGUAGACCGCCUGGGGAGUACGGUCGCAAGAUUA